AACGAACGCUGGCGGCAGGCUUAACACAUGCAAGUCGAGCGCCCCGCAAGGGGAGCGGCAGACGGGUGAGUAACGCGUGGGAAUCUACCGUACCCUACGGAAUAGCUCCGGGAAACUGAAUUAAUACCGUAUACGCCCUACGGGGAAAGAUUUAUCGGGGUAUGAUGAGCCCGCGUUGGAUUAGCUAGUUGGUGGGGUAAAGGCCUACCAAGGCGACGAUCCAUAGCUGGUCUGAGAGGAUGAUCAGCCACAUUGGGACUGAGACACGGCCCAAACUCCUACGGGAGGCAGCAGUGGGGAAUAUUGGACAAUGGGCGCAAGCCUGAUCCAGCCAUGCCGCGUGAGUGAUGAAGGUCUUAGGAUUGUAAAGCUCUUUCACCGAUGAAGAUAAUGACGGUAGUCGGAGAAGAAGCCCCGGCUAACUUCGUGCCAGCCGCCGCAGUAACAC
rnacentral:rRNA from 1 species